GACGAACGCUGGCGGCGUGCUUAACACAUGCAAGUCGAACGGAAAGGCCCUGCUUUUGUGGUGUGCUCGAGUGUCGAACGGGUGAGUAACACGUGAGUAACCUGCCCUUGACUUUGGGAUAACUUCAGGAAACUGGGGCUCAUACCGGAUAUGAGCUCCUUCUUCAUGUUGGGGUUUGUAAAGUUUCGGCGGUUGGGGAUGGACUCGCGGCUUAUCAGCUUGUUGGUGGGGUAGUGGCUUACCAAGGCUUUGACGGGUAGCCGGCCUGAGAGGGUGACCGGGCACAGUGGGACUGAGAAACGGCCCAGACUGAUACGGGAGGAAGCAGUGGGGAAUAUUGCAAAAUGGGCGGAAGCCUGAUGCAGCAACGCCGCGUGCGGGAUGACGGCCUUCGGGUUGUAAACAGCUUUAGCCUGUGAAGAAGAGUGAGUGACGGUAAUGGGUAAAGAAGCAACGGCUAACUACGUG
rnacentral:rRNA from 1 species